GCCGAAGUGGCGGAACUGGUAGACGCGCUGGUCUCAAAAACCAGUGAGGUUCAUCCCUCGUGUCGGUUCGAUCCCGACCUUCGGCACCA
rnacentral:tRNA from 1 species